GACGAACGCUGGCGGCGUGCUUAACACAUGCAAGUCGAACGGAAAGGCCCUGCUUUCGUGGGGUGCUCGAGUGGCGAUCGGGUGCGUAACACGUGAGUAACCUGCUCUUGUCUUUGGGAUAACUUCACGAAACUGGGCCUAAUCUCGGAUAGGAGAUCCUGCUGCAUGGUGGGGGUUGGAACGUCUCGGCGGUUGGGGAUGGACUCGCGGCUUAUCAGUUUGUUGGUGGGGUAGUGGCUUACCAAGGCUUUGACGGGUAGCCGGCCUGGGAGGGUGACCGGCCACAGUGGUACUAAGGUACGGCCCGGUCUCCAACGGGGGGCAACAGUGGAGAAAGUUACACAGUGGGCGGGAGCCGGAUGCAGCAGCGCCGCGGGCGGAAUGACGGCCUGCUGGGUGUAAACCGCUUUCGCCUGUUACGCAGCUUUAGUGACGGUAAUAGGUAAAUAAGCACCGGCUAACUGCGUG
rnacentral:rRNA from 1 species